rnacentral:rRNA from 1 species
UUGCUCCCUGAUGUUAGCGGCGGACGGGUGAGUAACACGUGGGUAACCUGCCUGUAAGACUGGGAUAACUCCGGGAAACCGGGGCUAAUACCGGAUGGUUGUUUGAACCGCAUGGUUCACACAUAAAAGGUGGCUUCGGCUACCACUUACAGUGGACCCGCGGCGCAUUAGCUAGUUGGUGAGGUAACGGCUCACCAAGGCACGAUGCGUAGCCGACCUGAGAGGGUGUCGGCCACACUGGGACUGAGACACGGCCCAGACUCCUACGGGAGGCAGCAGUAGGGAAUCUUCCGCAAUGGACGAAAGUCUGACGGAGCAACGCCGCGUGAGUGAUGAAGGUUUUCGGAUCGUAAAGCUCUGUUGUUAGGGAAGAACAAGUACGUUCGAAUAGGGCGGUACCUUGACGGUACCUAACCAGAAAGCCACAGCUAACUACGUGCCAGCAGCCGCGGUAAUCGUAGGUGGCAAGCGUUGUCCGGAAUUAUUGGGCGUAAAGGGCUCGCAGGCGGUUUCUUAAGUCUGAUGUGAAAGCCCCGGCUCAACCGGGGAGGGUCAUUGGAAACUGGGGAACUUGAGUGCAGAAGAGGAGAGUGGAAUUCCACGUGUAGGGUGAAAU